UGGGGAAUAUUGGGGCAAUGGACGCAAGUCUGACCCAGCAACGCCGCGUGAAGGAAGAAGGCUUUCGGGUUGUAAACUUCUUUUAAGAGGGAACAGUAGAAGAGGGUACCUCUUGAAUAAGCCACGGCUAACUACGUGCCAGCAGCCGCGGUAAUACGUAGGUGGCAAGCGUUGUCCGGAUUUACUGGGUGUAAAGGGCGUGCAGCCGGGUCUGCAAGUCAGAUGUGAAAUCUGGAGGCUUAACCUCAAACUGCAUUUGAAACUGUAGGUCUUGAGUAUCGGAGAGGUAACCGGAAUUCCUUGUGUAGCGGUGAAAUGCGUAGAUAUAAGGA
rnacentral:rRNA from 1 species